rnacentral:lncRNA from 1 species
AAUACUCCAUUUCCCCUGGUCUAACAUGGGAUCCUGUUUGGGAGACAUAUACUAAACUCAACUCAUUUUUUAAUAAUGCCUACAAAAAAUAUGUCCAUAUUCUUGGCCUGCCGUUCUAUCAGCCGCAAUCAAAAUUUUCUUACCACGCAUAUUGAAAAUAUGAAAAUUUAUACUAGUAUUUUCUUUUGAAGCAUGUAUCAAUUGAAUAUGAAAUCAAUGUAAUUAAACAAAAAAAAAAAAAAAAAAGAAGUUAAUUGACUACUAUACGUUUGUUGGGCUUGAAGUUGCAACUGCCUAGUUAGUUUAGAAUUUUAGUAUUAAGGAUUAAUUAUAGUUUAUAGUCAUAAUUUUUAACAAAUUUAAGUUUAUAGCUUCAAUUUUGAUUUAUUUUUUAAUAUACAAUGAACUUUGAAGACUCGUUUAAUUACAC